UACGUAGGGGGCUAGCGUUGUCCGGAAUCAUUGGGCGUAAAGCGCGUGUAGGCGGCCCGGUAAGUCCGCUGUGAAAGUCGGGGGCUCAACCCUCGAAAGCCGGUGGAUACUGUCGGGCUCGAGUGCGGAAGAGGCGAGUGGAAUUCCUGGUGUAGCGGUGAAAUGCGCAGAUAUCAGGAGGAACACCGAUUGCGAAGGCAGCUCGCUGGGACGUUACUGACGCUGAGACGCGAAAGCGUGGGGAGCAAGCAGG
rnacentral:rRNA from 1 species